rnacentral:rRNA from 1 species
CAAUAGCGUAUAUUAAAGUUGUUGCGGUUAAAAAGCUCGUAGUUGGAUUUCUGCUGAGGACGACCGGUCCGCCCUCUGGGUGAGUAUCUGGCUCGGCCUUGGCAUCUUCUUGGAGAACGUUACUGCACUUGACUGUGUGGUGCGGUAUCCAGGACUUUUACUUUGAGGAAAUUAGAGUGUUUCAAGCAGGCAUACGCCUUGAAUACAUUAGCAUGGAAUAAUAAGAUAGGACCUUGGUUCUAUUUUGUUGGUUUCUAGAGCUGAGGUAAUGAUUAAUAGGGAUAGUUGGGGGCAUUCGUAUUUAACUGUCAGAGGUGGAAUUCUUGGAUUUGUUAAAGACGGACUACUGCGAAAGCAUUUGCCAAGGAUGUUUUCAUUGA